CCUACGGGAGGCAGCAGUAAGGAAUAUUGGUCAAUGGACGAAAGUCUGAACCAGCCAUGCCGCGUGAAGGAUUAAGGCCCUCUGGGUUGUAAACUUCUUUUAUCUGGGACGAAAAAAGGGUAUUCUUACUCACUUGACGGUACCAGAGGAAUAAGCACCGGCUAACUCCGUGCCAGCAGCCGCGGUAAUACGGAGGGUGCAAGCGUUAUCCGGAUUUACUGGGUUUAAAGGGUGCGUAGGUGGGCUUGUAAGUCAGUGGUGAAAUCUCCGGGCUUAACCCGGGAAACUGCCAUUGAUACUAUAGGUCUUGAAUUAUCUGGAGGUAAGCGGAAUAUGUCAUGUAGCGGUGAAAUGCUUAGAUAUGACAUAGAACACCAAUUGCGAAGGCAGCUUACUACGGAUGCAUUGACACUGAGGCACGAAAGCGUGGGGAUCAAACAGGAUUAGAUACCCUGGUAGUCCACGCCCUAAACGAUGGAUACUCGACAUCAGCGAUACACUGUUGGUUGUCUGAGNGAAGACAUAAGUAUCCACCGUACGGUAGGUACGAGUCGCGAGAGUAGUAACGUACAAUAGAAGUUAGUACGGCGUGAGACGUCGACCGAACGGACGACGACGAGGGAGGUUAGG
rnacentral:rRNA from 1 species